rnacentral:lncRNA from 1 species
UUCUUUUAUUGAAACUUGUAUGUUGAAGCUUUGAGAGUGAAGCAUGUAUGUUGAGGUAGUGCUCCCUUAAUUUCCCGAGUGAGGAAAACUUCUAGGUUGGAGACUUGAAAAAUCCAAGUCACUAAGUGGUCGUGAGACUUACAAGUAUCAAGGUGCAGUAGCAUAUGGUAGGAGUCCCCCAAGUCUCCAGUCGAGGGAGUUGACGAAUAAGGCAUUUCCUUUCUAAGUGGUAACCCAAAACUCCUCCUUCAUAUAUAUUUGUUAUGAAAGUUGUUAAGCCCAAAGAAGAGGAGGCCUAGGCAAUUUUUUUUUUUUCGAAUUUUUGAAUUUUUGAAUUUCGGAAUAUAUAUAUAUUUUAAGCUUUGUAGGUGAAGCUUUGGUGUUGAAGCUUUGUAGAUGAAGCUUUGAGGUUGAAGCCUUGUUGGGUACCAUGAAUUGAUUUUGCUUCACACUAUCUUGAUCAAGAUAGUGUGAAGCUUUUGUAGGUGAAGCUUUUGUGUUGAAGUUUUGUAGGUAAAGUUUUUGUGGGUGAAGCUUUUAUGGUGGGUGAAGCUUUUGUUGAUGAAGCUUUAAUGGUGAAGCUUUUGUGGUGGGUGAAGCUUUUGUGGGUGAAGCUUUUGUAGGUGAAGCUUUUAUGGGUGAAACUUUUGUGGGUGAAGCUUUUGUGUUGAAGCUUUGUAGGUGAAGCUUUGGAGUUGAAGCUUUGUAGGUGAAGCUUUUGUGUUGAAGCUUUUGUAGGUGAAGCUUUGGAGUUGAAGUUUUGUAGGUGAAUCUUUGGAGUUGAAGCUUUUGCUGGGUACCAUGAAUUGAUUUUGCUUCACACUAUCUUGAUCAAGAUAGUGUGAAGCUUUUGAGAAUUUGUAGUUGUCCUCCAUUGAUGAAGCUUUUGUUGGUAAAGCUUUUGUGGUAAAGCUUUGUUGGGUACCACGAAUUGAUUUUGUUUCACACUUUCUUGAUCAAGAUAGUGUGAAGCUUUUGAGAAUUUGUAGUUGUCCUCCAUUGAUGAAGCUUUGUUGAAUUUCCCUUUUCUUUUUUUUUUUGGGAAACUAGAAAUUUGAAAAUGUGGGAGAGACAACAUAUACAAAUUUUGCUUCCACACUGUUGAGCAAGAGAUUGUGAUGCAAGCCACACCUUAUAGUAGUCGAAGGUUUAGAUGAACCAUAUAAAUUGAAUUUGCUUCAAACAGUAUUGAUCAAGAGUGUGUGAAGCUUUCUACGAGUUGUAGUUGCCCUUCAUUGAUGAAGCUUUUGUUGGCACCAUAA